rnacentral:rRNA from 1 species
GACGAACGCUGGCGGCGUGCCUAACACAUGCAAGUGGAGCGACGAACCAGGCUUCGGCCUGGGGCAAAGCCGCGAACGGGUGAGUAACACGUGGGUAACCUGCCCCGAUGAUUGGGACAACCCGAGGAAACUCGGGCUAAUACCGAAUGUGCCCUCCGACCGCAAGGUCACUGGGGAAAGGAAGCUUCGGCCUCCGCAUCGGGAUGGGCCCGCGGCCCAUUAGCUUGUUGGUGAGGUAACGGCUCACCAAGGCGACGAUGGGUAGCUGGUCUGAGAGGACGAUCAGCCACACUGGGACUGAGACACGGCCCAGACUCCUACGGGAGGCAGCAGUGGGGAAUCUUGCGCAAUGCGCGAAAGCGUGACGCAGCAACGCCGCGUGGGGGAAGACGGCCUCGG